UACGUAGGGUGCGAGCGUUAAUCGGAAUACUGGCGUAAAGGCGUGCGCAGGCGGUGAUGUAAGACAGUUGUGAAAUCCCCGGGCUCAACCUGGGAAUUGCAUCUGUGACUGCAUCGCUAGAGUACGGUAGAGGGGGAUGGAAUUCCGGCGUGUAGCAGUGAAAUGCGUAGAUAUGCGGAGGAACACCGAUGGCGAAGGCAAUCCCCUGGACCUGUACUGACGCUCAUGCACGAAAGCG
rnacentral:rRNA from 1 species